UGAAAGCAGUCAUCCAGCACGUUCGGCUCUGCUCGUCCUCGGCACACAGCAUCUUCAGCUCCUUCAGUUCGGUCCUGCCCUUACUCGGCUGUCAAUCAAGCAAGAUAUCUACUGUCAAAUCAAGGCACUAUCAUGCUCUGUACCAGAGCUGUGACGGUGGGAUAGAGCCAUUCGUUUCCUGACACCACGCUACCAUCUGCUCCGGAAAGAAGUUCUGUGAGAGGAAGAUAAAAGAUGAGAGGAUCACCUGACCAAGAUCAGAUGCCUUCCCUAGUACGCAGUUACAUAAGAUGAUUGUUACUAGACUGAGAACAAAAGAAAGGAACCAACUGAAUUUCUUACCAAGGUUUGAACGUGCAACUUUUACAUACAUAUUCAUAUACAUAAUCAUGUACAUGUAUAAAAUGAUAAAUCAGUAUAUUACAAUGAUUUCUGAAGGAUUAUGUGAAAAUGAAGACUGGAGUAAUUAUGCUGAAAAUACAGCUUUGCAUCACAGGAAUAAAUUACGUUUGAAUGUAUAUUAAAAUAGAAAAGCGUUAUUUUACAUUAUAAUAUUUCACAACAUUUUUUUCCUGUAUUUUUGAUCAAAUAAAUGUAGCCUUGAUGAUAAGGAACUCCUGUAAAACAUUAAAAAAUCAUUCUGAUCUGUGAUUU